rnacentral:misc_RNA from 1 species
AGUUUCAACAAGCAAUGGAGAAAGUCAAUAAAUCAUUGUUACAGGCAUAAGAGAAUCUACUUGGAUGUGACGUCAUAAUUUUAAUAACACCAAAGUAUUACAAAGUUAAACCAUAUCGUAAAUUGCUACAAAGACAGCUACACUAGUAGAUUAUUGUGUUCAGUCCUCAGCCCUCAGAAAACUUAGAACAAUUUAGAAAGUAGGGAUUCUACUAAUAGCAAUAAAAGCUUUAACCAUUUGACUGAAAUGAAGUGCCCCAUGAGCACUGUGAAUCCUAUAUAUCAACCAGAUCAGGGCAAAAAUGCUAUGAGAGAAACCAACAACUCUACAGCAUAAAACGAUUCCAAAAAGUCAAAAACUUGA